UAAACUGAAGAGUUUGAUCCUGGCUCAGAAUGAACGCUGGCGGCAGGCCUAACACAUGCAAGUCGAACGGUAACAGAAGAAAAGCUUGCUUUUCUUGCUGACGAGUGGCGGACGGGUGAGUAACGCGUGGGAAUCUACCCUUUAGUUGGGGACAACAUAUGGAAACGUAUGCUAAUACCGAAUACGAUCUACGGAUUAAAGGUGGCCUCUAUUUAUAAGCUAUCGCUAAAGGAUGAGCCCGCGUUAGAUUAGCUAGUUGGUAGGGUAAAGGCCUACCAAGGCGACGAUCUAUAGCUGGUUUGAGAGGAUGAUCAGCCACACUGGGACUGAGACACGGCCCAGACUCCUACGGGAGGCAGCAGUGGGGAAUAUUGCACAAUGAGGGAAACCUUGAUGCAGCCAUGCCGCGUGUGUGAAGAAGGCCCGAGGGUUGUAAAGCACUUUCAAUUGUGAGGAAGAUUAAGUAACUAAUACUUGCUUAGUUUGACGUUAACUUUAGAAGAAGCACCGGCUAACUCUGUGCCAGCAGCCGCGGUAAUACAGAGGGUGCAAGCGUUAUUCGGAAUUACUGGGCGUAAAGCGCGCGUAGGCGGACUGUUAAGUCGGUUGUGAAAGCCCUGGGCUCAACCUAGGAACUGCAUCCGAUACUGGCAAUCUAGAGUUUAAGAGAGGGAAGUGGAAUUCCAGGUGUAGCAGUGAAAUGCGUAGAUAUCUGGAGGAACAUCAGUGGCGAAGGCGACUUCCUGGCUUAAAACUGACGCUGAGGUGCGAAAGCUUGGGUAGCGAACGGGAUUAGAUACCCCGGUAGUCCAAGCCGUAAACGAUGUNNNNNNNNNAUAAGUUGACCGCCUGGGGAGUACGGUCGCAAGAUUAAAACUCAAAGGAAUUGACGGGGGCCCGCACAAGCGGUGGAGCAUGUGGUUUAAUUCGAUGCAACGCGAAGAACCUUACCAUCCCUUGACAUCCUGCGAACUUUCUAGAGAUAGAUUGGUGCCUUCGGGAACGCAGAGACAGGUGCUGCAUGGCUGUCGUCAGCUCGUGUCGUGAGAUGUUGGGUUAAGUCCCGCAACGAGCGCAACCCUUAUCAUUAGUUGCUACCAUUCAGUUGAGAACUCUAAUGAGACUGCCGGUGAUAAACCGGAGGAAGGCGGGGACGACGUCAAGUCAUCAUGGCCCUUAUGGGAUGGGCUACACACGUGCUACAAUGGGGGGUACAAAGAGCAGCCAACUGGCGACAGUGCGCGAAUCUCAUAAAACCUCUCGUAGUCCGGAUCGGAGUCUGCAACUCGACUCCGUGAAGUCGGAAUCGCUAGUAAUCGUGAAUCAGAAUGUCACGGUGAAUACGUUCCCGGGCCUUGUACACACCGCCCGUCACACCAUGGGAGUGGGUUGCAAAAGAAGUGGGUAGUCUAACCUUCGGGAGGGCGCUCACCACUUUGUGAUUCAUGACUGGGGUGAAGUCGUAACAAGGUAGCCCUAGCGGAAGCUGGGGCUGGAUCACCUCCUUUAAGAC
rnacentral:rRNA from 1 species